AUGCAUUGUGUACAAUAUUGGCUUGACCUUGGCUUCAGCCUCUACAGGCCUCUUCGGGAUCCCAUGCCAGAGAUGUCAGUGCCCUCCAACAGAAUGAAAUACAUCAAACUGCAGAAUCUCUUUGCAAGAGACAGCAGAAGAAUGUUACUAAUUCCAAACUCCUGCUAAAGAAGAAGUUUGCUGCCACCUUAUGGUGAUUCUUUCAGCUCUGCUAAUAGUGGAACAGGAGGAACUAAAGCUAUGUUGCAGACACUAACUGGACUACAAUUUCAGCUCUGAGGAAAGAUACAGGAUCAGGAGCGGAUGGACAAACACUAUCAAGAAGAGGCCCAGGCAUGUUAUUCGUGGUGCUAUAUGCCAGUUCCACAAUAUCCAGGAUUCAAAGGAUUUUUUC
rnacentral:lncRNA from 1 species